AAAUAGUUUGUACAAAAAAGAAUGAAAGCGUUACUUUUUGUGCUAAGUUAAAAUGGAAGCGGGAAGCUGAAAAUUCAAGGUGUAGAGGCGGGGUGAACAAAAUGAGAUAGAAACGACGUCGUUUUGGCAAGAGUUAAACUAAAACACUCACAACACUUAUCAUUUCUUCUUUCUCGUUGAAAAUUUUCGUACCGCAUUUUCUCUCUCUCGUUGAAAGUUUCGGACAUUAUCAUCUUCUCCAUUUCUUCUUAUGCUUUACUGUCAUCUUGCUGAAAUUAUCCACAAAAUCACUUUAAAUCACCUUUUUCAUCCCUAAUUUGAGCUACCCAAAGGAUUUGGGCAACUUUAGUGACCUCGCAAAUAGCAAAAAUCCCUAGAUUGGUGCUGCACUUGCUUGCUGGCAAGAACACAGAAAAUUGGCCGUGAAUUUUGGGGGAAAGCCAGAGUUCGAAGACUGAAUCUUAAGGACAACAAGAGCUAAGGGAGUGAAGGCAUAAUUUGAGACGGCGAUAGCCGCUUGACUGGCAAUGAUGCUAUGAAAAUUUUCGCCAUGUCCAAUUUGUCUAGGCCUGAACUCAAGCAGGUAUAUUCUGUUAUGUGUCUGGAUGGGGAAUUAUUGUACGCACAUAGUAGGUAGGUGAUGUGGAUGAAUAAUUUAAUAUCGAUUAUGGAAAGGACCUUCUCUCUCUCUCUCGGAGGAAAAAUGUUAAAUGUGCGAUUGGUCUACUGCUUAAGAAAUAUUAUUAGUAUAGUCGAUUUGGAGUUUUUUUUAAUUGUUUUGGUUAUUGGUUUAGUAAGUGAGUCGAAGUGCUAGAUUUAUGAAAUCUGAUGUACCUGUAUCUGCGUUUUAAUUUUAUGCACUCCAAAGUGGAAAUUGUCAAUGUCAAAGGCAGUUUUGAUAUAUUCAUCUACCAGCGGAAAACUCUAAUUGCCGUUAGGAGAUGAAAUUGAAUUACUAAGACAUUGAAGGAUUUUACCUUCGAAAUUUUUGUUAUCUCUCUUUUGCUGUUUACCUUUAUUGCAUUGAUCAUCGUCCUUACCAGGGUUUUAGAGCCAUAGCGAGCCAUAUUUCUUUUCAAUUGCUGGACUUAUGGAUUAUCCGUUCUCUAGUUUGUUUGACCAUUGUGAUUGCUACCACAGUUGGUAAUUUGCUCUUGAAACAUGUUUGUUAGCGUAUUUGAAGUGGCAGAGGAGUUUGAAUUGAACUCCAGAUAUGUUGAAUCCACAAUUUCUUAUGUUGUCUUGGGAACAUUGUUGGCUGCUUUGGUCCCUGUUCUGGGCUUUAAUCCGGUCAUGGCAUCCGAGCAUUUUGCUUCAUUUUUGGGUAAUUUGCUGUGCCAUGGUGACUGUACUUAUAGCAUUAGUAGCCUCCAGCCCAACUAAGGGUUGGAGUGGGCGUAGUCUAAGUCUGCUUGAUCCGCAUGCUUUUUGCCACUUUCUGAUGCAAGCUCCUUUAGCAUCCUUUACAUAGUUACAUUAGUAUAUUUUUCAGGUGUCAUGGUGCCACUAAUGCUUGUACUUGGUCCAGCAGUAUGCAAAAUGCCUGGAAUUUCUCUUUCAGGAGCUUUUGAUGUUCUUACUCAUUCGCUCAUAUUUCAGUUGCCUAGUACAUCAGAAAUUUUUACAUCUGAUUAGAGAAGGUUCAUUGUGUCUGGGCAGCAGCAGAAGCAUGUUCAAUACCCUUCAUAGUGCUAACAAGUCAAUCUCAUGAUGGCCUUCGCAUUUUUUAUGACUUCAAAGAGGCCUAUGCAUGGUUGAGCCAUAACACAGAUGUAGAUCAUAAAUCUAACUUCAUAUUUUGAUCAUGAGAAGACUGAUGCUCGUGCUGCAAGAGAUGCUCAAAAUCUGACCACAGCUGUGUAGUCUAUGCUUUAGUGGCAAAAUCUAGUAUUCUAUCUUUUGGGAAGGAUAUGUAUUGGCCAUUAGAACUUACAACUGAUUAUGUGGGAUUACUAUAUUCCCAACAUUUGUGGUUCACUUCUGUUUUGACUAAUUUGGAGAUGUGUUAUGGCCAAAUAUAUGAAUUUGUGGCAUAUAUUCUAUGUUGGUUUUGCCUUUUGUCA